UGACGUGUGUGCUGUACUGUACGAUAGCUAUUACAGGGGGUAGGUAAGCAGUUGCGCAGCAGUAGCAGUAGUAGUAGUUGCGACAUUCGUAAGAUCGAUCGAGUUGGCGAGUUGGAUGAGUGUUGGGUAAUAAGAUGAUCGUUGUGCUGUAAUUGGUGCAGACAGCGGCGAGGGGGCUGCCCCGGGGGGUAGCUGUGGGUUAUAGUGCCUGGGUGCACAUAAUACAACAUUAGCACUGGAAUUGUUGAUCUUAGGCUUUUGGGGGUUUGCGUCUUCGGCAAAGCUUCGCAGGCAGUAC
rnacentral:lncRNA from 1 species